ensembl:snoRNA
AUGGCCAUGAAUGAAGGCAGGCAGUUUUCUGAAGCUGUUGGUUUCAAGCAGGAGCCUAAAGAGGUAUCUUUCUAUGGUCUUUUGGCUGUUUCAGAACCUUUUUUUUUGGUAACAGAGCUCCAACU